AAUAGGUUUUGGCGGCUGGGCAACUCCUGACCUACAAGCUUGUGCCCUUUUCCUGGAGGCUUAGCAGACUGUGCUGAUGAACCAAAGGUUAGACAGAGCUGUGACUGUUGCAAGACUCCUGCCACCCACAGCUCAGCGAAACCCCAGGUACCACUGCAGAGCAACCGGCCAGCAGAGCUGACAGGACAUGGAGGACGGAGGGAGGCACUGGCUCACCAGGGACCCAGCUCCUCCUCAUCAGCCUGCAAAUGGAUCUCUAGGCGCCUUGUUCUUUCCUUUGUGCUUCCGAAAGCGUGACAGAACAGUACGGGGCAGGGGUGGGGUGCAGCUAUAAACAGUCUGAGGGACAGCUAUAGAGGGAGAGCCAUAAACAACAGUGGAGUGGGGACAGUUUUUCAUUUGGCUGAUGGACUUAAUAGUCAAUCGAAAAAUUACAUACCUCACAAAUAAUUAAAAUUGAUUUUUCCAUUAUAUUUUUGAUUGUGGGCUAAGGUUGCUUCAUUGGCAUUUUCAAGAUAAACUAUUUUCCUGCUGUUUUUAAAAUUGGCGUGCCAAGAAAAUCGUUAGGCUAGCAAAAUGGAGUCCAUGCAAAUCCUUUAGGACAAUAGCGGCAAAAAUGCUAUUAUUGCUUUUAAUUUGCUACCAUUAAGAAAUUUCUCCUAAGUAGAAAUGAAAAGUUAAGACAAGUAUAGUUUUUCACAUUAUGAGUGUCCAAUAUUUUAGAAAUUAUUGUGCUUGUAUUGUAUACUGUCCUUGUGUUAUGUCACACGACAUACUAGGAGAUGAUUAUUGAGAAAUGUGCAGAAUAAAUCUUAUCUAGAGAGAAAUUUGAAGAUGAAACGGAGUAUCCUGGAUGGAGAGUGGGACUAGAUGACUGCUGAGAUGUUUCCCGACCACAGGAUUUGAAGACCAGAAUGUGGAACGAUGAAAAGGAAUCACUGAACUAAGACUAGCUUCUGGCCUUGAGUGACUGCCUACUAAAUACGUAAACUUGGGCAAAUCCUUUGCUCUCUCUGAUUUCAGUUUCUUCACGUGCAGAAUGAGGAUGGUUCUGUUCAGGUCCUUCACUGAGCCCAUAGGCCUCAGGGGAAGCCGACCUCACCUCCCUCCACUGGGGGCCUGAUGGCCUCAGGAGUUUCUGGAAGUUUCCUGGAGUUAUUAUUCUAAUUGAGAUCUAGAAUUCCUGCCGCUAUGUUACUACCUGAGGAUGAAGUCGACAAAGGAACACAGUGCCAAGGGAAAAUGGGCUGGAGGCCACCGAUGGGGUCAACCCUGAAGCUUGCUCUACCCCUGCACUUGUAGUUUGAAAGUGAAAGUAAUUUUUUCCCUUGUUGAUUAAACCAUUUGGAGUUGGGUUUAUUGUUACCUACAGUUGAAGGAACUCUAAGUACCUUACAGAUGAGAAAAUGUAAAUAAAAUUCUGAAAAUUCAGUGCUGCAAGGUGUUAACAUUCUCUUGUAUCACUAUUGUAAAAUAUCACGAUUCCGCUGAGUAAUAUCCUUCUUGAUAUGAGGAGGCCAAGUCAUCUUUGGGAGGUGCCUCACAGAGUUGCUGGUUUCGUGUUUGAAUCCCCUUGGUACUAUUCCUGCUAAGUGACUAUUCAGUCCCUGGUGGAACUCUGCCAGUCAUGGGGACAUCACGGCUGCCUGAGGCCGCACGGAUGACUGAGUCACUCAGCAUGUUACGGUGCAGUCAUCCCAGCAUCCCAUAUUUGUACCUGCUUUGUGCUGAGCUCAUCUGAAGCCAGAGAGAAAGUGGGGAGAUCUGGGGAGGUGAAUUUGUUGCUAUUGGCCCGGAUUUUUGCCACAUGGAAAUUGCUGAGCUGGAGCACGUGAACCACGGCGUGACGGUGGUCUGGUGGCUCCUCCCUUCCUUCUCCUUGCUGGCGGUCUCUCUGCAGGGCCCUGAGGAAGCCACAGCUGCCCUCUGGAAGGACAAUAGCUAUCUGUCUGGUCUGCGUCUGAG